ACCGCACGUGUAUCCAAAAAACUGUCAAGUUCGAUUUCCCUGGAAACGAGGCUUCGCACGAAGAAAUUGUAUUUGAAAUUUUCGAUUUAUUUUUCCACACAGAAUAAUCUUCUGGCCGAAUCACGUAUCCCUGAACCAUUAGUACCGAUUUACUUCGAGAACGAAGCUCCGAAUGAACAAAAUUGUGCUUCACAUUUCUGACCAUUUAUUUUCGUACGUAGAAUAAGCAUUUUUCCUCCAAGCCCUGUUGUUGUCCGGUUGUCGAUCCUCUUCGUGGAAACCGACAAUUUAAAGCAAAGCUAACUGCCAUUGUUAGCCGGUUUGAAGAUGGUAAUUAGUAUCGACUCGUAUCGUCGUGUUUACGCCGUGGAAAGUUCAUUUCGCGCGGAAUACGAAACUUUGCGACGACGGCGCGACGACUUAGUGCACGCCUGACGUAUUUAGUUGCAAAUUUUACCAGUUAACCGUAUCUGCAGUUUGGAAUUCCUGUUCUGCCCGAGACUCGUCUUCUCCAUCGCGACAUUCCACUCGAACAAUGCGUGCUGAUUGACUGACACUGAUUGUCGAAUUCUUCCAUUUUGGAGAACCGAUUCAUUUUCAUUCGGCGAGAAGUUGAAGAAUUUGAAGAAGAAGAUCCACUUAAGAUCUUAAUGUAUUAUUGAUAUAAAUAUUUACGAACGAAGAUGGACGUUACGUGGAAAAAUUCGACGAUUUUCGCAUACCAUGGACCGUCGCUCAAAAGCUUGCAGCAUCGUCUUCGAAAGAGACGAACUUUUUCGUAAAUUUUUUCGACGAAUAAGAGUAUUAUCGUUAGACUGCGGACUUUUAUAAACAUUCACGUUUUCGGGAAUACAAUGGAAAAAGUAAAAUCUCCAUGGAGAAUUAUUUUGCCUGCCAAAUAUUAAUAGAAAGAACCUUCGACAUUUUAUAUGUUUCUUCGUUAAUAUUCGUAUUACAGCUUGCACUUCUCGAUUUCUUCUAAAUGCAUGAAACAUCUAUUUGCUUAAGAAGUCGUCGUUUCCUACGAAAUCCUAACGCGUUCCAAACAUUGUCCAGAAAUGCGUAAAUAUCGAUAGUCUAGUAAUUAUACAAUAAUAAAUAAGAGAGAAAUAAAUAGGACAAAAGGCUGAUCCCACGAAAAGGUAAGAAUGACGUAGGAUUUGCAAAAUGAAUUUCAUCAUCGUCGGUAGAAUAUCAAGGAUUUGGCAGUGCAAAACCGACGACGAUUUACGCGCGCAUCAAAAAGCCCCGAAACAAAGGCGGGGGGAGGUAGGAGGGGCACGCACGCGCGUGGAAUUUGGCACAAUCAAUAAACGGCAUUUGGCAGUGGGCGAGUUUGAUUCAAAAUUGCAAGACCACCGACGACGCUUCCGGUUCCUCAAACGCAAGAUUUACGCGCGAGACGCCGCAUAGCGCCAUCAUCGCCACUCUAUUCUCGCCCCGAGAUGAUGCGAUGUUGAGCGAGUUUGUCAUUCCUUUGGUCACUUUUCAAAUAAUUAUGCAACAUAUCAUUGCCGAACUGUAUUUGCUCGACGUGACUCUAAUGGACGCGACGAUAUUCUUCUCGCGUUAUGUGUACUUUUUGUUGGCGAACGUUAACCCACUGGAAAAUUUCGGCAAAAAGACAAAUUUUCAACAGCAAUUUUUCCAUUUCCAUGUUGAUUAAUUUUCGAUACAAUUAAGAACCUAGCAAUUUUAGUGCGCUGUUCCAGUAACGGGACCAACAUCGAAUUCCCCCAGCGCAUUUCACAGAUAAAUAACUAAAAUAAAUAAAUAAAUGGCAACAAGACGAAUAAAAUAAAAUAUACAGAACGUAUAUGUACGGCGUCCAAAUUCGAUAAAAUAUGCAGAACGUAUAAACACAAUAUUGGGUCGUAUAAUAUAUUUAAGCUCUAAUAUACUUCGACACACGAUAUAUUUGAACUUUAAUGUAGCAUUUACUUGAACAAAACAGUAUGUAAAUUAUUUACCCAUUAUGCGUUAUUUUAUCGCUCGAUGCUUAAUUAUGUUGUAACCCUUUCUUAAGAAAAAGGUGGCUGUUCACGGUAGCUCGAGUAUCAAAUUUUCCACGUGUUGCAUAAUAUGGCACAUAUUGUUACAUAUAUAACGAUAGAAAAUGGUUAGCAGGCAAUCGAAGCGGCUUUUAGAAUGCGUCACGUGCGUGUGACGUUUGGCAGCAGCUGUGUGAAGCAACUAGUGCGUCACACGUGUGUGACGCAUGGUAGCGAAAAGGUUAAAUAACGCAGAAAUCCGAUGUUCGCUGUAAAUCGCACAAAAUAUGCAUAUCCAAUAAGUUGCAAAUCGCAUCAGCCAACUCUUGUCCUCGUCCUAGCACGAUCACUUACGUAAAAGUAUGGCGACAGAACGCGAUUAAUUAAACUUGCGCCAAUUAUUUCAAAGUGACUGGAUGCAGCUUCCUAAUGCGGAAUGGUGCACAAAGCGUGUUCGAAGGGACCUGGUUGUUGAAAUUCUCCAUUCAUUCGAGCCGGCAGUCAAAGAAUUGUUUCAGAGAGAAAAGGAAUUGGACAGCGAUGGAAUAAAGACACGGCAGGCCAGACGGAAUUGUUCGGGAAUUACUGAGAUUACUCGAGGAACCAAGGGGGUGGAACAGGGUGGCCGGGGAUCUCAAAUGCGAAAUAUCGUUGACGACGAAGUACCAAGAGCCGAAAAAUUCACCUGUCCAGCGAAAUUUUCAUCAACGAAAACUACGAGGGACGAUGUUGCUUUAGAUGACACUAUCUAUACACAUAGAUGAAGUUCCGUUAAAUGUACGUCUUGUUUACGCAAAAAUAUCAACAUUAUCUUCGAUUAUUUAUUGAACAAUUUAUACAUACUGUAUAGUAUACUCUAAAGAUAUGCGGAACCCAUUUCAGCAGAUGAUUGUGGAUUUAAAAACGAUGUAAAAGGUUCAUAUAGGCACAUGGUCCGGAUGUUUGCGUUUGCGAGAUGUAACCAAAUUGCUGUUCUGAUUUUGUGUUAUCUAAAUACAAUUACAGAAGAUGCUCCAGAUGAUCAUUUUGCAUUUCAAGGCAACUUGGUAGGCGUCUUGUCAUGGAUCCGGUUACGCCCUGUAUAGUUACCGAUGUUUCCCAAGUUUGUUGGGAAGCUCCUUCGAUUCCGAACCUUAGAGUUUCAACGUUUCCGAUCGAUUUAUUUACGCUCUAUUUGCAAAAUUCGUUUUACAUAUCUCGUAAACGAAGACAAAUACAGCAUACGUUUAUGCGGACCAUUUUCAAUAUUCUUAGAUGUACGAUCAUUUGGCAAAGUGGGUCAUGCUAGUGCUAGUUCGACUACGUUUCAUUGCUAUCUCUACUUUCGUUACCUGUUCAUUUAUUUUUAUUUCCCACUGUAUAUAGUACAUGGUACGGGGCAUUUGUAUUAUUUGGUGAUUUUUUCGAGGUGAAAAAAGAGAAGAAAUAACGAUGGCCAUUAGUUGAUCGUAAAAUUCAGAGAAUACGAGAAAGUCUCGAGGGGCAUAGAAGAUUGUUUUUCUGUCGAACGCCGCCGGAAAUGAAGAGUUCCAUGGACCUCGGACUCUUUAAUGCACUCAGAUAAACGUGGAAUGACGUAAAAAAAAUAUAUAUCGAAUAGAGAAAUUGUAGUUUUACCGUGAAAAUAAAUUUCCACGCGAUUUUUAUUUUCUUUCCUUCGUUAAACACCGGUCUCGUUGAGCGCAUUUAAUUUCAACGAACAUUUGUUGCUAGAGGAAGUGAAAAUAUCUACGAAGAUUGAUAUUUUAAUCUUCAUCAGCAAGGAACGAAUAAUAUGUUCGUUUUCUCUUUGAGAUAUAAUUAAUAUCACAUUUCUGACAUCUAUUUGACGCUAAUUAAUAUAAUCUAGACGAGUGUCGAUCAAUAUCAGAGGUAAUUUUGAACAAAAACAUAUCAAACUACGUAACACGUACAUUUUGCAUAACCGCAAUAAUCGUGCAGUAUACUAAUUCAACCUAAACAUUUACUAAGUCGAUAAUUAUCAAUAUGUAGGUAAAAAUACAUUGGAUCUAUUAAUCAUUCUCGUCGAAUACGA